AUUUAGCACUCACGAAAGUCUCCAGCACUCCGGAUGGAUAUACCAGCGCUGAAGUCAAAUAAUCGUUCGAACAAACUUCCCAUAAAUUGAGAACCUUUUGCUAGGAAGUGUCUUGCUGAAUCGAUAGUAGAUCUGGCGAAAUUAUUCUUAUCCUUGCAGAAGAAACUUCAAAUGAAUUUAAUUGCAAGUCUCCCGCCAAUUUUCAACAUCCUUCAAAUUACUCUUCAACCAAUUGAUGUUAUAUUUUACAUUCUCCAAGGCCUGUUUACG